CUGACAGGCAGCCCACGAGGCAGCAGCGUGCAGCCCACGAGACCGUCGCGCUCGGGAGCCCACAAGGGCCCACAGAGACUGCUGGCACCGGGAGGCUGCCCUCUGGAGCGAUGUCCCUGACCCCGUGCUCUCCCAGAUGCCAGUCCCACACAAGCAUUUGCCAUGCGCCCACACUGUGAGUGCCACUUGCCACCCUUCCCGGCCAUCACCUGCAUCAAGGAAGUGCGGCCACCGUCAGCUCUCUGCCAUGGCCUGGGAGAGCAGUGGGAGAUGGCCCAAGUCCUUGGGCCUCUGCACCUGCAUGGGAGACCUGAAGAAGCUCCUGGCUCCUGAUUGGCGUAGCUCCAGCCAUUGCAACCAACUGGGGAGUGAACCAGCGGAUGGAAGACCUCUCUCUCUCUCCCUGCCUCUCCUCUCUCUGUGUAA